AGUGAACGCUGGCGGUAGGCCUAACACAUGCAAGUCGAACGGCAGCACAGUAAAAGCUUGCUCUUACGGGAGGCGAGUGGCGGACGGGUGAGGAAUACGUCGGAAUCUACUUUUUCGUGGGGGAUAACGUAGGGAAACUUACGCUAAUACCGCAUACGACCUACGGGUGAAAGCAGGGGAUCUUCGGACCUUGCGCGAUUGAAUGAGCCGAUGUCGGAUUAGCUAGUUGGCGGGGUAAAGGCCCACCAAGGCGACGAUCCGUAGCUGGUCUGAGAGGAUGAUCAGCCACACUGGAACUGAGACACGGUCCAGACUCCUACGGGAGGCAGCAGUGGGGAAUAUUGGACAAUGGGCGCAAGCCUGAUCCAGCCAUACCGCGUGGGUGAAGAAGGCCUUCGGGUUGGAAAGCCCUUUUGUUGGGAAAGAAAAGCAGCAGGUUAAGACCCCGCUGUUCUGACGGUACCCAAAGAAUAAGCACCGGCUAACUUCGUG
rnacentral:rRNA from 1 species